GUGGGGAAAAAGCACUGGCACAUGCCAGGGUCGCCGUAGGUGGAGCGGCCGGCGCAUGCGCACGCGCACCCUCGCCGGGCCAUGAACGCCGAGGGGCGCGCGCCCCUUUCGCGCGCGCAUGCUUGCACUAUCAUAGGCUCCCCCAGCCUGCGUUCUUGUCAAAGCCGCUCCGGCGCGUGCGCGCGUUAUCUCCGGCUGACUCGCCUCGGCUUUUUUCCCCCUUCCCCUAGCACUCACAGCCUCUUCAGCCUCCUGCGCUCCACCCCCGCCCCUCGGUCCGUUCCCCUUUCUCCUCCCCCCAGGAAUGGGGUUCACGCUGCUCUGGGUCGCGCGCCCAGUGGCUAGCUCGCGCUGUCAGCGUCCGCCCAGCUCGCGCCGCCUCGCGCUCCCCCUCAGUCAGUGGCGCCGAAGGCUCCGUUAAACGGCGGCAGCGGCGGUUCCUGUUUCCGUUUCUUCCUCUCCUCCCCAAGUCGGGAGUAGCAUCCUCCUCCACGCCACCAUCCCUCCUACUCCUACUCCCCCUUCCCGGGGCAGCGACGGCCGGAGGCGGCUGUGUCUGGAGACGAGCCGCCGGAGUCCUCCUCCCUCCCUCCACGGUGGCAGAAAGAUGUAAGGAAAAUGAAAUCUCCAAAGAAUUCUUCUGUACCUGGAGCAGCUUGGCAGAUCUAGAGGAGAGAACCUAUCAGCUGUAACUGACUGCAGAGUCCCACCCACAGCAGUGCAGAUGGAUCUAAAGGAAAGAUGAUGAAUAACCAAAGUUUUUUCAAGGGAAACCACAGGAUUCCCUAAUCUUCAAGAUUACGCACAAUUUCUGUAAUUCUUGUUUGUAAUGGUGGCUUUUGUACCAUUUAGUGGCAGGGUAUUUUAGUUUGGGGGAAUUCUGAAGAGGAAAAAAUCUGAAAUCGGAAAGAAACAGCAGAAUUUAUCAUUUUACUUUUUUUUUUUUUUGAAAACUUCUUGGACCUCAACAGCUUCAUUGUGAUAUGGAGAUUACUCAGAAUUCUUGAAGGUUUUGUGUCAGCAUACCAUAAAUGUUGGCCAGCUCACCAAGUUUGAAAGACUUUGAGUAUGGCCUUGUCUACAAACUUGUAUCUUCUAGCUUAAUUUAAUUCACAAUGGCUUAUUGGGGAGUGUGAGGUUGUUCAACUAUAGCAAAGAUCAUUUGGUGAAGAG